CAACGUAAAGUUUUAAAAGUUUCUAAUUUUUAUAAAGAAACUAAAGUAACAAAUAACCUAAAAUUCUCUAUUUCUGGUUUUUCUAAACCAACAAAAUUAAAAAGACAUAAAAGUUCUCUAUUUUCUAACUAAUCAUGAAAUGUGGUAUACAUACUAGUUAUAAUUAACUAAUUAACUAUGUCAUAAAGUGCAAAUUAAAGAAAUAUAAGUUUCUAAUUUUUAAUAGAGAAAUUAAAGUAACAAAAAACCUAAAAUUCUCUAUUUCUAAUUUUUCUAAACAACCAAAAUUAAAAAAGCACAAAAGUUAUCUAUAUUUCUAACUAAUCAUGAAAUGUGGUAUGCAUAUUAGUUAUAAUUAACUAAUUAACAUUGUCAUAAAUUGCAAAUUAAAGUAUUAUAAGUUUCUAAUUUUUAAUAGAGAAAUUAAAGUAACAAAAAACCUAAAAUCCUCUAUUUUUAAAUUUUCUAAACAAGCAAAAUUAAAAAAAGCACAAAAAUUCUCUAUUUUUCUAAAUAAUCAUAAAAUGUGGUAUGCAUACUAGUUAUAAUUAACUAACUAAAUCGGUCAAAAAUUGCAAAUUAAAGUAUUAUAUGUUUUUAAUUUUUUAAACUAAUUAAAAUAAAAAAAAUAUUACCACUAUUUCUCUAAAAAACGCGUCGCUUUUGAAAUGGCCAUGAAGCUAAUAACCUCUUAAAAAACCAUAAAAUAAAAAACAAUAUACAUAACACUAGAAAAUGACAUAUGCCGCUUCUAAAUGUUGAGAAGAUGAAGCUAGUGACCUCUUAACAAGUCGAUGACGAUGUAGAAAUGAUGAAAUGAAUCAAUAGCCGGAGAUGAGAGCAAGAACAAACAACUCCAAAGAAGAACACAGCAAAAGAGUGAAGAUCGAUGGGCUCGGCCACGGGAAGAAGAGUUUAAAUAUGGGG
rnacentral:lncRNA from 1 species